GGCAAGGGCCGGCGUGCUAUACAUGCAAGUCGAGCGGACAGAAGGGAGCUUGCUCCCGGAUGUUAGCGGCGGACGGGUGAGUAACACGUGGGUAACCUGCCUGUAAGACUGGGAUAACUCCGGGAAACCGGAGCUAAUACCGGAUAGUUCCUUGAACCGCAUGGUUCAAGGAUGAAAGACGGUUUCGGCUGUCACUUACAGAUGGACCCGCGGCGCAUUAGCUAGUUGGUGGGGUAAUGGCUCACCAAGGCGACGAUGCGUAGCCGACCUGAGAGGGUGAUCGGCCACACUGGGACUGAGACACGGCCCAGACUCCUACGGGAGGCAGCAGUAGGGAAUCUUCCGCAAUGGACGAAAGUCUGACGGAGCAACGCCGCGUGAGUGAUGAAGGUUUUCGGAUCGUAAAGCUCUGUUGUUAGGGAAGAACAAGUGCGAGAGUAACUGCUCGCACCUUGACGGUACCUAACCAGAAAGCCACGGCUAACUACGUGCCAGCAGCCGCGGUAAUACGUAGGUGGCAAGCGUUGUCCGGAAUUAUUGGGCGUAAAGGGCUCGCAGGCGGUUUCUUAAGUCUGAUGUGAAAGCCCCCGGCUCAACCGGGGAGGGUCAUUGGAAACUGGGAAACUUGAGUGCAGAAGAGGAGAGUGGAAUUCCACGUGUAGCGGUGAAAUGCGUAGAGAUGUGGAGGAACACCAGUGGCGAAGGCGACUCUCUGGUCUGUAACUGACGCUGAGGAGCGAAAGCGUGGGGAGCGAACAGGAUUAGAUACCCUGGUAGUCCACGCCGUAAACGAUGAGUGCUAAGUGUUAGGGGGUUUCCGCCCCUUAGUGCUGCAGCUAACGCAUUAAGCACUCCGCCUGGGGAGUACGGUCGCAAGACUGAAACUCAAAGGAAUUGACGGGGGCCCGCACAAGCGGUGGAGCAUGUGGUUUAAUUCGAAGCAACGCGAGAACCUUACCAGGUCUUGACAUCCUCUGACAACCCUAGAGAUAGGGCUUUCCCUUCGGGGA
rnacentral:rRNA from 1 species